rnacentral:rRNA from 1 species
GCCUAAUACAUGCAAGUCGAGCGAACAGACGAGGAGCUUGCUCCUCUGACGUUAGCGGCGGACGGGUGAGUAACACGUGGAUAACCUACCUAUAAGACUGGGAUAACUUCGGGAAACCGGAGCUAAUACCGGAUAAUAUAUUGAACCGCAUGGUUCAAUAGUGAAAGACGGUUUUGCUGUCACUUAUAGAUGGAUCCGCGCCGCAUUAGCUAGUUGGUAAGGUAACGGCUUACCAAGGCAACGAUGCGUAGCCGACCUGAGAGGGUGAUCGGCCACACUGGAACUGAGACACGGUCCAGACUCCUACGGGAGGCAGCAGUAGGGAAUCUUCCGCAAUGGGCGAAAGCCUGACGGAGCAACGCCGCGUGAGUGAUGAAGGUCUUCGGAUCGUAAAACUCUGUUAUUAGGGAAGAACAAAUGUGUAAGUAACUAUGCACGUCUUGACGGUACCUAAUCAGAAAGCCACGGCUAACUACGUGCCAGCAGCCGCGGUAAUACGUAGGUGGCAAGCGUUAUCCGGAAUUAUUGGGCGUAAAGCGCGCGUAGGCGGUUUUUUAAGUCUGAUGUGAAAGCCCACGGCUCAACCGUGGAGGGUCAUUGGAAACUGGAAAACUUGAGUGCAGAAGAGGAAAGUGGAAUUCCAUGUGUAGCGGUGAAAUGCGCAGAGAUAUGGAGGAACACCAGUGGCGAAGGCGACUUUCUGGUCUGUAACUGACGCUGAUGUGCGAAAGCGUGGGGAUCAAACAGGAUUAGAUACCCUG